UACGUAGGGGGCAAGCGUUGUCCGGAUUUAUUGGGCGUAAAGAGCGUGUAGGCGGCCAGCCAGGUCCGUUGUGAAAACUCGAGGCUCAACCUCGAGACGCCGAUGGAAACCGUCUGGCUAGAGUCCGGAAGAGGAGAGUGGAAUUCCUGGUGUAGCGGUGAAAUGCGCAGAUAUCAGGAAGAACACCCGUGGCUAAGGCGGCUCCCUAGUACGGUACUGACGCUGAGACGCGAAAGCGUGGGGAGCGAACAGG
rnacentral:rRNA from 1 species